rfam:Schistocephalus solidus strain NST_G2 genome assembly, scaffold: SSLN_contig0000610
GAGCCCGUAGCUCAAUGGUAGAGCGUUCGACUCAAAUACCAAAGGUCGCGGGUUCA